rnacentral:snRNA from 1 species
AGUUUCGACAACUUUGGUUUCG